UUGAAGUAUCAACAGCAGCAAGAUCUGAGUCUUGCUCAGGUGGUGCUCACUAUUCAUGUGUGGUGGAUCCAAGACUCAAUUUCUGUGAGCUUCAGGGAAGAGUGUGCUGUCAGCAGGGCAUCAUAGGAUAUUUUGGAAGUGAAAUUCUGGCAAGUCCAGGUGGGGAAUUAAAGCCCAGAGAAGUGGCAGCCCCCAGGUGGCCCACCCCAACACCUCCUCAAAGUUCAGCCAUCGUGGGAACUGCCUCUCCAAUAUACAGAAUCGAGGAGGAGAACCUGGGAGCUGUUGGCAACCACUACAGGGCACAUGAAGUCAGAAAAGGAACAACUCAGCAUGAAGGAGAGUGGAGCCAAGAGAAGGAGAAACCUGGACCCUGAUCACUGGGCUGAGUCCUGGAGCAAACUGGUCUUCAAGCUGUUUGUACCCAGGAUUUUUUAGACAUGAGGCAAUAAAACCCAUUUUUGCUUAACAUUGACUUGAGUCAGAAAGAACUGUAAGUGAUAUGCAACUGUCAAGCAACGUCCUGGGCUGGAAAUCUGGAAAACGUUUCAUUCUUUCCUGUCCCUCACUGUCCACAUCCUAUGUGACAAGCUGCACAUUCUACUUCUUCAAUUUCUUUCCACUUCCGUAACUCGGGGGACAAAAAUGAACAUUGACAUUUGCUGAGUACUUGUUAUAUAUUUAUAGAUUGAACUAGGACAGUUCACUUUUCAACCUGGACAACACUCUUAUGAAGAACUUGAAACACACAGGUAGCAACUAAUUAGUCCGAGGUCACUCACUAAUUCCAACUGAAGAGGCCACAACGACACCACUAUGCCAUACUGUGUUGAUAAACAUUUGCUUAGUGUG